rnacentral:misc_RNA from 1 species
AAGUCGUAACAAGGUUUCCGUAGGUGAACCUGCGGAAGGAUCAUUAAAGAGAGAAUAAAUAAUACAUUGUGCAAGAAAGUACUAUAAAUGAAUAUGUGAAAAACUUUAAUAGAGACAACUUUUAGCAACGGAUCUCUAGGUUCUC